rnacentral:rRNA from 1 species
AACGAACGCUGGCGGCAUGCCUAACACAUGCGAGUCGAACGAGACCUUCGGGUCUAGUGGCGCACGGGUGCGUAACGCGUGGGAACCUGCCCUUAGGUUCGGAAUAACUCCCCGAAAGGGGUGCUAAUACCGGAUAAUGUCUUCGGACCAAAGAUUUAUCGCCUUUGGAUGGGCCCGCGUUGGAUUAGCUAGUUGGUAGGGUAAAAGCCUACCAAGGCGACGAUCCAUAGCUGGUCUGAGAGGAUGAUCAGCCACACUGGGACUGAGACACGGCCCAGACUCCUACGGGAGGCAGCAGUGGGGAAUAUUGGACAAUGGGCGAAAGCCUGAUCCAGCAAUGCCGCGUGAGUGAUGAAGGCCUUAGGGUUGUAAAGCUCUUUUACUCGGGAUGAUAAUGACAGUACCGGGAGAAUAAGCUCCGGCUAACUCCGUG